CACCAGCAUCUCCAGCGGAUGUUUUGCUGCGUUCGGUUAGAUGGGCCCUGUGAGAACCCGAUGCCGUCGUCUCCUGGCUGGGAAUAGGCCUGGGCUGCACAUCUGUAACAGAUGCCUGCCAUGGAAUUGAAGGUUUAGAGAAACCCCAGCU